rnacentral:rRNA from 1 species
CCUACGGGUGGCUGCAGUGAGGAAUAUUGGUCAAUGGGCGGGAGCCUGAACCAGCCAAGUCGCGUGAGGGACGACGGUCCUAUGGAUUGUAAACCUCUUUUGUCGGGGAACAAAGGCGCCCACGGGUGGGCGGAUGAGUGUACCCGAAGAAAAAGCAUCGGCUAACUACGUGCCAGCAGCCGCGGUAAUACGGAGGGGGCAAGCGUUAUCCGGAUUUACUGGGUGUAAAGGGGGCGCAGACGGCAAUGCAAGCCAGGAGUGAAAGCCCGGGGCCCAACCCCGGGACUGCUCUUGGAACUGCAUGGCUGGAGUACAGGAGGGGCAGGCGGAAUUCCUAGUGUAGCGGUGAAAUGCGUAGAUAUUAGGAGGAACACCGGUGGCGAAGGCGGCCUGCUGGACUGUGACUGACGUUGAGGCCCGAAGGCGUGGGGAGCAAACAGGAUUAGAUACCCGAGUAGUC